rnacentral:lncRNA from 1 species
AUGAGGGGAGCCAGAACUCCUGCUCCGCCCCAGUAAUAACCAGGUGCAACCUCCUCUUUGGGUGUCAAAUGGAGGUCAGGUGGGAAACUUGGACUUCUACCUCCAUCUAGCAGUAAUGAGCUGGCACCCCACCUCCUUCCUCUACGGGAGCAGUGUCAUAAAAAGCCAGGAAAAGAAACAGCACACUCAAAUAGUUUAAGCCUAUAGAGAUUUAUUAGGGGUUAAAGAUAACUUAAAAUUUGAUGGAAAGGUGAAGGCAGAUUUUCAACUGAACUUCAGGAAUGGCUCUCAGAACCAAACUGCAAAGAACCAAACUGCAAACUAGCUCCCUAAGGGUGAAACUCGGAAAUUUGAAAACACCGAAUCAGGUAAGUAUCACCCCAGCUGCCCUUUUUGAACUCUCGUGCAUGUUGGCUGUUGUGUUGGUAUACACAGGGCAAGGAGACAUUCCCAGAGUUGAGAGAGGCCAAAACACUGAGACCCACCUGCCUAAGAAUCAAUGACUGAACUUGCCAAGAUGCCGCAGUUCCUUCAAGAAGACACAGAUGCUGCAUCCCAAUGGAGCUUACAUUAGCUAAAAGCCAGCACUUGGGGAGGUGGACAGACACAUGUCCAGAGUGCCUUGGAGAGCACAGGCCACCGCUGAAGCUGUGAAAAAAGGCUAAAUACAUGGUGGAAGCAGGAAAGGAAAGGAACCCCAGACUUGCUCCUGGCUCACAGUACUACCUGCUUCCCCAUGCAGAGACACCCCAGUGAGGGCCCUCAUAUUGCCCUUGUGGACUUCACUGGGACUGAACCCUUCAGACCUAAGAGCUUCUAGGGCUCAGUUAUUGGAAACAUUUUCAGUUUUAUUCUUCUGAAUGACUUAAAGAUUUUUCAAUUAGAAAAACUCUCUUCAUGAAUGACAUGUACUAAUGUACUAAAGAACUUUGCUUCUAGAUCUAUUUAGAAUUGUCACACUUCUUCUACUACUGAUUACUACUGUAAUCUACUGGGAUUACAGGUGUGAGCCACUGCGCCCGGCCAUUUUUUUCUUUCUUUCUUUCUCCUUUUUUUUUUUUUUUUUGAGGUGGAGUCUCGCCCUGUCGCCCAGGCUAGAGUGCAAUGGCGGUAUCUCAGCUCACUGCAACCUCCACCUCCUGGGUUCAAACGAUUCUCCUGCCUCAGCCUCCCGAGUAGCUGGGAUUACAGGCGCCUGCCACCAUGCCCAGCUAAUUUUUGUAUUUUUAGUAGAGACGGGGUUUCACCAUGUUGGCCAGGCUAGUCUGGAACUCCUGACCUUGUGAUCCGCCCGCCUCGGCCUCCCAAAGAGCUGGGAUUACAGGUGUGAGCCACUGCGCCUGGCUCAAAUGUGCUUUUCAAUAAAGGAUUGGGAAAAAAUAAGUUAGAGUGCAACUGCAAAUUCCAAAAUGAUUAAGCCCUUGGAAAUAAAAUGGGAUACAUGAUUUGAAAGAUAUCCAAGAGGUGGCAUGUGCAGUAAGAAGAACUCAGCAUUGGGCAGGCUGGUGGCUAUAGCACCAGUGCUGAGAGGGCAGGAUGUUAAGUAGGAAAGAAAAGCCUUUAGAGAAGGGCAGAGUUCCAGGAUCCCUGUCCAUAUGGACAACAUGACCCUAGUCUCUCAUGUCUGUCAGCUCUUGUGUCUUCUGGCUUUUCUUAGUCUCACUCAGCCACAUUGUUUGUAGCACUCACUUCCCUUGAAGGCACUUGAAACUGGGACAUCUGUCCACAGACAGGCCUGUCUGGACAGCCUUCCAAAAUGCUCAUGGCAAUGAGAAAGUCUCUGAGUCCCAGUCAUUUCCCUGCACACAGAGUAGUUCCCAUCUUAGCAAAACUGGGUGUUCUCUGAGUAUCACUCAGCACAUGGAAGCUGUCCAGACUUCUGUCCUGUGCAGGCAGGCAGUAACCUGGGAUCUCUGCUCUUGCAUGCAGAUAAACUUACAGUCCUUCAAAGCUUCAAGCUCCUAGAUGGUGAAACAAUACAUCUGUGCUGAGAGUGAGGAGAAGGAUGCAAUAGUCUUCCAGUUUUGUACUUUUACACUUCUGGGUCAUCAGAAACCAAAGAUUUGCCUUGGUUUCCCAAAGUGUUGGGAUUACAGGCAUGAUCCACCACGUCCAGCUUCAAUAAUUAUUAUUUUUUAUUUAUUUAUUUUGAGACAGAGUCUUGCUCUGUCACCCAGGCUAGACUGCAGUGGCGCCAUCUCGGCUCACUGCAAGCUCCACCUCCAAGGUUCACACCAUUCUCCUGCCUCAGCCUCCUGAGUAGCUGGGACUACAGGUGCCUGCCACCACACCCAGCUAAUUUUUUGUAUUUUUAGUAGAGACGGGGUUUCACCGUGUUAGCCAGGAUGGUCUCAAUCUGCUGACCUUGUGAUCCACCUGCCUCGGCCUCCUAAAGUACUGGGAUUACAGGCAUGAGCCUCCACACCCGGCCCUCAAUUAUUUUUGAUAGUUUUGUGUCAAUAUUUCCAUGAUAUAUAACAAUUCCUUAUUAUUCUAGCAAUCUUUUCCUCAUCAUUUUGUCUUAGUUCUACAUAAUUCUUAUACUGAGGAUUAAACUGAAGCAUGGCUCUAACCCUGAAACUUCUCUAAUAAUUUUUAAUCUCAAUGAUAUUGUUUGAAUAUUUGUCCCCCUCCAAAUCUCAUGUUGAAAUUUGGUUCGGGACAGAGCAGUGGCUUACACCUGUAAUCCCAGCACUUUGGGAAGCCAAGGUGGGAGGAUAGCUUGUGGCCAGGAGUUCAAGACCAGCCUGGGCAACACAGAGAGACCCCUGUCUUGAUAAAAAUAAAAAAGGCCAGGCGCGGUGGCUCACACCUGUAAUCCC